AGGACGCCAAACCAGACGGGAGAGUGAGACGGCCAUUUUUGGUUUUUGGGUAGCUCUUGGCUCAUUUUGAGUUUGCUUAUAUGAAUUUCAUUAUUUUUCGUAUGAUAUGAAAUGAAAUGAAUAGAAUAGUGACGCCGGCAUUGUGUAAUGGGCACAGGUAAUGGCGAGAGAUAGGUGUUUUAAAGUGGAAAUGAAUAGAUGUUAAAUCUGCAGACAUAAUAUUCUUAUUCCUUCUAAAAGAUGAAUCUAUAAUCAAACCAUUGCAUUUUUAUUUGACCACAAUGUAAAUGUAUCGUCGACAACUGAAAUUGGACCAGUAGCGUGGCCACCCAGAUCACCAAAACUGAUUUUUUUGGGCGUACGUUAAGAAUGAAGUUUAUAAAAUGCCUCCAACAACAAGGGAUGAGAUGAAAAAUAGAAUACAAAGUGUACUUCGAAGUGUUAAUUUACAAAUGCUUCAUAGUGCAAAAGCAGCAGCCAUGUUCAAAUCACAGUGUCUGACUAAUGGAUUUUUGAUUAUCACGGAAUGCACUCAUGAAGUUUAGUUUGCUGGUUACCACAAGAGAUUUUCCACUGAAGGUGCAAUUCUGAACCUUCUUUAUUGAUUCAUAAUAAUAAUACGCUAAUAUAUUGGAUCUGCAUAAACAGGAAAAAGAGACAAUGUCAAAUAGCAUUCAAAAUCUUGAUCUAAUCUAUAAAUGUAAUAAUAUACUGUCUUGUUAAUAUUAAAUGUUGUUUGUAA